AGCGAACGCUGGCGGCAGGCCUAAUACAUGCAAGUCGAACGGAUCCUUUUAGGAUUAGUGGCGGACGGGUGAGUAACACGUGGGAACGUGCCCUUUGGUUCGGAACAACUCAGGGAAACUUGAGCUAAUACCGGAUGUGCCCUUCGGGGAAAGAUUUAUCGCCAUUGGAGCGGCCCGCGUCUGAUUAGCUAGUUGGUGGGGUAAAGGCCUACCAAGGCGACGAUCAGUAGCUGGUCUGAGAGGAUGAUCAGCCACACUGGGACUGAGACACGGCCCAGACUCCUACGGGAGGCAGCAGUAGGGAAUCUUGCGCAAUGGGCGAAAGCCUGACGCAGCCAUGCCGCGUGAAUGAUGAAGGUCUUAGAUUGUAAAUUCUUUCAGCGGGACGAUAAUGACGGUACCCGCAGAAGAAGCCCCGGCUAACUUCGUGCCAGCCGCCGCAGUAAC
rnacentral:rRNA from 1 species